rnacentral:rRNA from 1 species
AUUGAACGCUGGCGGCAGGCCUAACACAUGCAAGUCGAGCGGAGCGGCGGACGGGUGAGUAAUGCCUAGGACUCUGCCUGGUAGUGGGGGAUAACGUCCGGAAACGGGCGCUAAUAACGCAUACUAGAAGAUAAGCCUAGGUCGGAUUAGCUCGUUGGUGGGGUAAAGGCCUACCAAGGCGACGAGCCGUAACUGGUCUGAGAGGAUGAUCAGUCACACGGGAACUGAGACACGGUCCAGAAUCCUACGGGAGGCAGCAGUGGGGAAUAUUGGAAAAUGGGCGAAAGCCGGAUCCAUCCAUGCCGCGUGUGUGAAGAAGGUCUUCGGAUUGUAAAGAACUUUAAGUUGGGAGGCGUUACCAACAGAAUAAGCACCGGCUAACUUCGUGCCAGCCGCCGCGGUAAUAC